GAACAUGGAACAUGAGCAUGGGACAGGAGCAUGGAACAAGCGCAAACAGAAAGCAAUGACCAGACAAGGAGUGAGGGGAACACAGAGACUAAAUACACAGACACUAAUGACAUGACAAGGAACAGGUGAGGAGAGAGGAGGAAGGAAACCAGGUCUGUGGACACCAACCAAGAGCUGUAAACAUGAAGCCAUGGCACACUUUUGUCGUCCUGGCUCCCCUCUGUUGUGCAUCGGCGAGACAAAUGAUCACACUCACCCUGACAGAACUGUUGUUGAGUUCACACCAGAGUUUGCCUGAGAGCUUUAACAGCAGCUAAAAUGAACUGAACCAAACAGGCAAUGUAACCCAGCUCAUCUGAACAGGUAAGAUGUUAAAACACAGCUGGACUCUAAUAUGAGUAUCAUUCUCCUAAACUGCCUAUGAUGUUUGUGAUUGGAAGGCUAAUGCUUCUUAGCAUGCAUUGGGUAUUUGGCAGGAUACACCACGGACAUGACACUAGUCUAUCAAAAGGUUGACACUACAGAUAGGUAACCACUUUUGCACUCACACCAGUGGACUGAUUCCAUGUCACUUAUUCUGCAUGAUAUUAGACCACAGGAAGUGGCUACUAUUACUAUUCAACAGAAAAAAAUCCCACAUUUCCCCAUUAACUUUAGCCAUUGUGGUUUUUAAGUUAUUAUAAAGUAAUCAUCACAUACAGUUGCUUUAAGGAGUCCUUUUUACAACAUACAACUUUUUGAUUUUUUUGUUUUAUAUUUCAAUGUCC